GACGGAGGGGGCUAGCGUUGUUCGGAAUGACUGGGCGUAAAGGGCGCGUAGGCGGUUUUUUAAGUGAGGCGUGAAAGCCCUGGGCUUAACCCAGGAGGUGCGUUUCAUACUGGAAGACUUGAGUACGAGAGAGGAAAGCGGAAUUCCUAGUGUAGAGGUGAAAUUCGUAGAUAUUAGGAAGAACACCAGUGGCGAAGGCG
rnacentral:rRNA from 1 species